rnacentral:misc_RNA from 1 species
AAGUCGUAACAAGGUUUCCGUAGGUGAACCUGCGGAAGGAUCAUUAACGUAUUCGAACGGGGAGGCCGGGGCGAGCCCAGCACCGGCGGAGACGCCGUGCUUUGCGGGCUUCCCGGCCGACCCUUCCAAACCAAACCCCCGUGCACCUCUAUGGGAAGGCGGGCCCGGCCCUCGCGGUCGGGUCCCCGCCGACCCCCCUUCACAAGCUCUUUUGUAACCGUCGGAAUGGACCGCGGACCACGUCCGUCUAAAUCUUAAUAACAACUUUCAACAACGGAUCUCUUGGCUCUC